UCGAGGGGUGAAGUCUUCGGACUUUGAGACCGGCGCACGGGUGCGUAACGCGUAUGCAAUCUACCUUACACUAAGGGAUAGCCCAGAGAAAUUUGGAUUAAUACCUUAUAGUAUGUGACUGGGACAUCCCUAAUACAUUAAAGAUUUAUCGGUGUAAGAUGAGCAUGCGUCCCAUUAGCUAGUUGGUGUGGUAACGGCAUACCAAGGCAAUGAUGGGUAGGGGUCCCGAGAGGGAGAUCCCCCACACUGGUACUGAGACACGGACCAGACUCCUACGGGAGGCAGCAGUGAGGAAUAUUGGUCAAUGGGCGCAAGCCUGAACCAGCCAUGCCGCGUGUAGGAUGACGCAUCUAUGGUGUGUAAACUACUUUUGUACAGGAAGAAACACUGCUACGUGUAGCAGCUUGACGGUACUGUAAGAAUAAGGAUCGGCUAACUCCGUGCCAGCAGCCGCGGUAAUACGGAGGAUCCAAGCGUUAUCCGGAAUCAUUGGGUUUAAAGGGUCCGUAGGCGGUUUUAUAAGUCAGUGGUGAAAUCCGGUAGCUCAACUAUCGAACGGCCAUUGAUACUGUAGAACUUGAAUUAUUGUGAAGUAACUAGAAUAUGUAGUGUAGCGGUGAAAUGCUU
rnacentral:rRNA from 1 species